rnacentral:rRNA from 1 species
UACGGAGGGUGCGAGCGUUGUUCGGAAUCACUGGGCUUAAAGGGCGCGUAGGCGGGCUGCCGCGUCCGGGGUGAAAUCCCACGGCUCAACCGUGGAACGGCCUCGGAUACGGGCGGCCUCGAGGGGGGGUAGGGGCAUCUGGAACUGUGAGUGGAGCGGUGAAAUGCGUUGAUAUUCACAGGAACUCCGGUGGCGAAGGCGAGGUGCUGGACCCCUUCUGACGCUGAGGCGCGAAAGCCAGGGGAGCGAACGGG